GUAAGUAAAAAGGAUGGAACAAGAAGCCAAAAUUAUGCUAUGAAAUUUUGCUCCUUCCUAAAGGAUUGUUGCCAUUUCAAGGAGGAGAGAGAGGUCAAGUAAAGCUUUCUCAUUAACAGUUAAGAGCAGUGAUUAAAAUUUGCUUCUUGAAGAAUUAGUUGUGGUAGAAUAACAGAGAACAUACAUUCCAGAGGAGCCUACAAGACAUUUUGAGGGGACACUGUACUCCUCCUCUGUGUGACAUGCAGGAGAAUGGGUGAUUCCAGAUUAGAGAAUUCGGAGACUACAGGAUCACACAAAGAUAUUUAUCAAGUGCCUCUCACGUGAAAAUCACAGAGCUAAGAACUAAGGUUACAACAAAGAGCAAAAGACAAGGCCUCUGUUCUCCUGGAGGAAACAUAAUAAGUAUGGGGGAACUCUAUUUUAAUGUUCUAGAGAAUGGGAUACCUGCAUAUUUCCAAGAAAACUUUACUAAGGAAAGGC
rnacentral:lncRNA from 1 species